AAUUAGGUCCCAUGUCUUUCUUCCAAGACUUGUCAGCCGCCCCCACCCUUCCUCUCCUUUCCUCUUAUAAACAAAAUACAAUCUUCUUCAUCCUCUUCAUCAGAAUAUGCUAGAUCUUUUUUGUACAUGUGUCAUUUUCCUCUAUCUCAUAUUUUUGUCUUGGUAUUUUCUUUUAUCUCUCUUUUUGUGGUGAAUCUUCAAGGAACAGACCAAAUUUCACCAUUUCAAGCAUGGCCUGAAGCAUCACGUGAAGAUGAAGUCCGUCCAAACCUCCAACGUUUAGAUUCAAGCGGAUGUGUUGACCAAGAUUUCGAAUUCAAAAUUUUAAGUUCCCGCUCUUCAGAAACCCUAGCUUUUUAUCGCCUAUAAAUACUUCUCUAAGUCUCAGCCGAAGCCAAGCGGGAGGAGGACCAUAAAAUCUCAUAUAUCUUACUACUCUCUUAACACUACUGACCAUUGUUCUUUUAAAUUCGCAUCAUUUUGGUUAAAAUCGAUUCUACUGUCGAUCUUGUUCGCUGAGUAGAUCUGAAACCUCAAAAGCCCCGUUCACUGCUCACAAAAAGGGGCAUAUUUUAGCUAUUCUCGAACAUUACAUGCUAUCGCAAAGCUCAGCAUCAAGUCAAAAGUCACAAAGUUCAUGCAAAGCAAAGGAUGAAGCCAAGCAAGCGCAAAUCAAACUUUGAAACUUAUAAUUUUUCUUUGAGUGCGGGAAUUUAUUAAUAGCAAAACGUUAUUUUGAAGCUCCAACAACUGUUAGCAUUGCACCAGGAAUAUUCACUACUACAAAGGCAUUGCAUCAAGCACUCUGCAUCGCACCAUUUGCUGUUGCAAAAUUAUUGCACCAAGCUCUCUGCAUUGCACCAUCAAUAUAUGUUACUUCGAAAGAACCAUGACAAGCUCUUCACACUGCACCAAUCUUGUAAGUUUAAAUCAAGCAUCGCAUUUAGGCUUGUCCACCUUUAAUAGGACAUUUAGGCUCGUCCGCCUUUAAUAGGACGUUUAGGCACAUUUUGCCUUCAAUUGAAAUUUAGGCUUAUCCGCCUUUAAUUGGAUUUUUAA